rnacentral:rRNA from 1 species
CCUGGCUCAGGACGAACGCUGGCGGCGCGCCUAACACAUGCAAGUCGAACGAGAGAUGAGGAGCUUGCUCUUCAAAUCGAGUGGCGAACGGGUGAGUAACGCGUGAGGAACCUGCCUCAAAGAGGGGGACAACAGUUGGAAACGACUGCUAAUACCGCAUAAGCCCACGGCUCGGCAUCGAGCAGAGGGAAAAGGAGCAAUCCGCUUUGAGAUGGCCUCGCGUCCGAUUAGCUGGUUGGUGAGGUAACGGCCCACCAAGGCGACGAUCGGUAGCCGGACUGAGAGGUUGAACGGCCACAUUGGGACUGGGACACGGCCCAGACUCCUACGGGAGGCAGCAGUGGGGAAUAUUGCACAAUGGGGGAAACCCUGAUGCAGCGACGCCGCGUGGAGGAAGAAGGUCUUCGGAUUGUAAACUCCUGUUGUUGAGGAAGAUAAUGACGGUACUCAACAAGGAAGUGACGGCUAACUACGUGCCAGCAGCCGCGGUAAAACGUAGGUCACAAGCGUUGUCCGGAAUUACUGGGUGUAAAGGGAGCGCAGGCGGGAGAACAAGUUGGAAGUGAAAUCCAUGGGCUCAACCCAUGAACUGCUUUCAAAACUGUUUUUCUUGAGUAGUGCAGAGGUAGGCGGAAUUCCCGGUGUAGCGGUGGAAUGCGUAGAUAUCGGGAGGAACACCAGUGGCGAAGGCGGCCUACUGGGCACCAACUGACGCUGAGGCUCGAAAGUGUGGGUAGCAAACAGGAUUAGAUACCCUGGUAGUCCACACCGUAAACGAUGAUUACUAGGUGUUGGAGGAUUGACCCCUUCAGUGCCGCAGUUAACACAAUAAGUAAUCCACCUGGGGAGUACGACCGCAAGGUUGAAACUCAAAGGAAUUGACGGGGGCCCGCACAAGCAGUGGAGUAUGUGGUUUAAUUCGACGCAACGCGAAGAACCUUACUAAGUCUUGACAUCCCUUGACGAACAUAGAAAUAUGUUUUCUCUUCGGAGCAAGGAGACAGGUGGUGCAUGGUUGUCGUCAGCUCGUGUCGUGAGAUGUUGGGUUAAGUCCCGCAACGAGCGCAACCCUUAUGGUCAGUUACUACGCAAGAGGACUCUGGCCAGACUGCCGUUGACAAAACGGAGGAAGGUGGGGAUGACGUCAAAUCAUCAUGCCCUUUAUGACUUGGGCUACACACGUACUACAAUGGCGUUAAACAAAGAGAAGCAAGACCGCGAGGUGGAGCAAAACUCAGAAACAACGUCCCAGUUCGGACUGCAGGCUGCAACUCGCCUGCACGAAGUCGGAAUUGCUAGUAAUCGUGGAUCAGCAUGCCACGGUGAAUACGUUCCCGGGCCUUGUACACACCGCCC